rnacentral:rRNA from 1 species
UAAACUAGGAUUAGAUACCCUAUUAUUAUAAAUGUUUAUUUUUAUACUAAAUUAUUAAUAGUUAUGUUCUUUAAAAUUAAAAAAUUUGGCGGUAUUUUAGUCUUUUCAGAGGAACCUGUCCUGUAAUUGAUAGUCCCCGAUUAGGGAUACUUUAUUUAUUAAUUUACAUAUCGUCGUAGUUUGAAUAUUUUAUUAGAAUUAUAAUAUUCAAGAUUUUAUUUUAGAAAAUAUAUCAGAUCAAGGUGUAGUUUAUAAUAAAGAAGAGGUGGGUUACAAUAAAUUUAUUUUUGAAUAAAUUUUUUGAAAAAAUUUUGAAUUUGGAUUUGAAAGUAAUUUUUUGAGUUUUACUAAAAAUGAUUAUAGCUCUAAAAUAUGUACACAUCGCCCGUCGCUCUUAA